rnacentral:misc_RNA from 1 species
CUUUCAGCAGGUUCUUCCCCGGCAACGCUGCACUCUUUAAGGAAUUAUUCGUCAAGAGGCCCAUUUGUGGCAGCGAGAAACCUUAAAACUUCCACUAACUAAGUCCUAGUGGUCACAGAGGCAGGCGUUAAUCCCGUAUAUAAGCGAGAGAGCAGAGAGAGAGAGAAAAUAGCAGGGAGGAGGCGCACUGAGCAGACGGCCGCACCAAACCCCACCCCAUUUGGCUUAGGGAUUUUGUGUGGAGGAAAUAAGCCCAAAAUUGAGAAAAUUCCCCGAUUAAACGCCGCUUCCCCUUCGUGGCGAAAGGCGGGCUGAAAGAGGAGAGGAAGGAGGUGAAAUUAGUCCCGAAGUUGGAGUGAAAGGAAGUCAAAAUUGGUAAUAAUAUUAGUUGAUCAGCAAACAUGGCGUGCUGUUUAAGCGAAGAAGCCAAGGAACAGAAGAGGAUAAACCAAGAAAUAGAACGACAAUUAAGGAAAGAUAAGAGAGAUGCCAGAAGAGAACUCAAACUACUGUUAUUGGGCACAGGAGAAUCUGGCAAAUCUACCUUCAUCAAGCAGAUGCGUAUUAUCCACGGUGCAGGUUACAGCGAUGAUGACAAGCGAGGGUUCAUCAAGCUGGUCUUCCAGAACAUCUUCAUGGCCAUGCAGUCAAUGAUCAGGGCCAUGGACCUCCUUCAAAUAUCUUACGGAGACUCUGCAAACAGUGAACAUGCAGAUCUGGUGCGAGCGGUGGACUACGAGUCAGUCACAACGUUUGAGGAGCCAUAUGUAACUGCCAUGAAAAGCUUAUGGGCUGACACCGGCAUCCAACACUGCUAUGAUCGUCGCAGAGAGUACCAGCUCACAGAUUCAGCAAAAUACUAUUUAACAGACUUAGACCGCAUAGCUGCCGAGGACUAUGUUUCCACACUACAAGACAUUCUAAGAGUGAGAGCACCCACAACAGGCAUUAUAGAAUAUCCCUUUGACCUAGAAGAAAUCAGAUUUAGAAUGGUAGAUGUCGGUGGUCAGCGAUCUGAGCGACGGAAGUGGAUUCACUGCUUCGAGAAUGUCACCUCCAUCAUUUUCCUGGUUGCACUGUCUGAGUAUGAUCAGAUCUUGUUUGAGUCUGACAAUGAGAACCGAAUGGAAGAAUCAAAGGCCCUGUUCAAGACCAUUAUCACAUACCCCUGGUUCCAGCACUCGUCUGUUAUUCUCUUCCUUAACAAGAAGGAUCUGUUGGAGGAGAAGAUCAUGUACUCACAUCUGGUGGAUUAUUUCCCAGAAUAUGAUGGACCAAAAGAGGACCAUGUUGCAGCUCGUGAAUUCGUUCUGAAGAUGUACCUUGCCCAAAACCCAGAUCCCGACCGAAUGUGUUAUUCUCACUUUACUUGUGCCACAGACACUGAGAACAUCAAAUUGGUGUUCUGCGCUGUAAAGGAUACCAUCAUGCAGAAUGCUCUUAAGGAGUACAACCUCGCCUAAUGUUCCUCCUCUUACUUCUCUUGUGUUCCGUCUGUUCAUCUACACUUGCAAGACACUGAGAACAUAAGGUUCGUCUUCGCUGCCGUCAAAGACACAAUCCUGCAGCUAAAUCUAAAGGAAUACAAUCUGGUGUAACGUAGAGCUGUGCCCAACUCUGGCCGAAAGUGUACCCAAGGUGAAGUGACAGCAUACCCCCCUACUCUUGUGAGGGGCUGUCGGUUGAGGCCUCACUUCAUCACCCUAACAUGGACACUAAACUAUGAAGGCAGUCAUAUUUUGCAUUUUUAAAACCCAUAUUCAGUGUCCCAAAGAAAUAAAGGCUCUAUGCUUUAUUUUUCUUUCUUUUUUCUUUUUCUUUUUUUUUUCCUCAAUUUCCAAAGAUUUGUGUGAGCCUUCAGUUCCCUUCCAAGUCAAGCCAUCCUGUUUGGGACAGCUUCAGCUAUUUGCAGACAGCCUAAAUUGAGGAUGUUUUGAUGCCAAAGGGCCUUGACACCUUCAAUUAUGUAGUUCCAAUUUAUGUAAUGUACGCCAUUUCCAAGUCCUCAGUUGCGUACAAUGUCUGUUAACCCAAAGUCUCACACCCGGAAGGGGCGGAUUAACUAGUCCAAAGCCAUGACUGGUUCCAUUUUUGACUGUUGCCAUGUUGCCAAAAGGACCGCCCCUACCCAUGUCCCGUGCUCAUUACCAACGCUGCCAACGAGCUUAGUGCUCUCUGGUCGUAAUGGUGCUCCCUAAGCCCUGAUUCACGCGUGUGGAUGUGUGUGUGUCGCUUAAGCCACACUCAGCCGCUGCUACAUGUGCGUAACUUGGAGCUAAUGUUAGUGUGUACACUGAUAAACAUCAUGGGCUGACACACUCCACAUCUAACGAAGUAUUGCUCCAGCCUCGUUUUCUUGCCUUUGCGGGAAAGUUUGCUUGCCUUGCAGGUGAUUGUUAGGAUGUUUUGUGUUGGUGGCUUUUGUAUAUUACACAUAUAUAAACAUUAUGUGGUCUAACGUUUCAUCUUUAGUGUGUGAUAAUAUGUAGUUGAUCAUGAGAGGAGCUAUCCAUAAUGUAUAGGCCUGCAAAGUUUCCUGGGGGUUAAGGAAGAAAGAAGUGCUUGCUACUGAGACUUUUAUGCACCUCCAAAGUAAUGCAUCUGGACCACAAGUAAGUAGAGCACAGAAAACUACUUGAAGAUGCAACAGCCAAAUGCAGUGAGUCUUAUGGCGUCCAGAGUGUGAGAAAAGAGAAAGAGUCAACAGAACAACAGAGAAGGAACAACAGAAGAAGAAGCAGUUUUGAAUUCUGAUUUCUGAGAGUGAUACUUAGAAAUGUUAAGCAUUGAGUACUUUGCUGCCACUUACCUUAGGUUGGUACAAAUCUGAAUAAAUCAGGUACCAAGUAUGAGUAGCUGCUGUAAGAUUUGGAAAUGUAUCUACCUAUGAGGGCAUCAGUGCUUGUGAUAUAUUGGUGGUAGCGAGUAUGGCUUUAAAAUGUCUCCUUAGAUAGCCAGAUCUCUUCUGCCUGGUGAAAGGCAAAGCCAGGUACCAACACUACCUACCAAGUGACACAGAAGCUUAUUGGUGAGGUGCUACAGACUGUAGGCUCUUAAUAUCUACUCUUGCGUCAAAAAGUGCAAUUCAAAGAUAGCUGACUCGGAGCUGAGACUUAAGACUCUUGUGGCUUAUGCGAAAGUGAGCCUAGAAUGGUAUUUUUGAGUAUCACUAGCCAUUUACUGAUAAUCAUGCUUGUAUGUGACGUGUGUUCAAUGCAACCUGGGCACAAGGGUGUGCCUGCAAACGUGUCCAGCACUGUCCCCGAUGAUAGGAUGUUGAUUUAUGAUAAUGAGUGUGAUAAUGGUGAUGAUUGUUGAAUGAUGAUGAUUGUAGACGGAAGCACUAGUCAGUAUGGGCGCGGGUAAACACAAUUGCCCACUGCUCAUGUUACUUGUAUAUAUGUGUCUGUAAUAAUAACUAUUAGGUGUAUGGGUGCGGGGUAACCUGGUGAACCCCCAUGGAUUGCCAAUAGAGAAGGUAGCGAAUGAACGGAUGCUGAGAGUAAAUGAACAGACCACGGACAAAGACGUUCCAAAAGCUUGGCGCACCCUAGCGAAAGGGCUGUGUGCUAAUUCUAGUCUCUGGUGCCAUCAGGUGUUUCUUACUAGACAAGCCCAUUCAGUUUUGGGCUGGUCUGAACCUGGCCAUUCUGGCAGACAAACUCGGAUCAGCUGGUGAGGGAGAAAAAACCCGUAGUUGACAGCUGAGCAGAGCGGGCAAAGUGGCUCAUGAUGAAAGCUUUGCCUGCAGCGUAGACUUAGCUCAAUCCCCAGCCAUGUGAGGUACGCAUGGCACGUGUGCUUCUGCUUGCAGGUUCUGCCAUGUUUGUUGGGCUGCUUGUAUAAUUAGUAGAGAGACUAAUGGAAUUACACACAGCCCUGGAAAUGAGCCUUGACCUUCCAAUCGUUUGUACACUUGUUGUUAUAUUCUUAACUUCAGGUUGCAUUUUGUCUAUUGUUUGUAGUAUGUACAGACCAAGUAAGGUAUUAUUUUUAUUCAUUAUCUUUACUUUUAUGGAAAGAAUGUGUUGACAAGUAAUUACCAAUCAUGUGUAUUCAAAAAGACUUGUACUAAGGUUAAAAAAUUGAAAACCCCAUAUGUACCAAAGUAUAACUUGAUUUUAUUUUUGAAGUGGCCGACAUGUAGCAUGCAGUAGUAGUGGGCGGAGGAGGCGUCCACAUAGCCACCCUGCUGCCCUGCCCCGGUAUUUAGCACUGCCUACUGCUCCACCCACCCUGGGUCCUCCCCCGGCCCUGGGGGGCAUGGAAGCUUUGGCACCGGGGCAGGUGUGGCUUGGGGGGGCCAAGGCCCCAGUCUCCCCCCUGCAGGACCCUGGCCCCUCCCUGGCAUGUUGUCGCAAGAUGUAACCACCAGAGAUGAACUAAACCUUUCUAAUGGCUGCACCUUGCCCUGCCUCCUUCCUGGUGCCUAGCCAGUCACAACAGCGGUGUUUGGCUAGGUACUAGCGUGUGGGCAGCAAAAGGUCAACAAUACACCUGCUGCCCACACUUCCUCCCAUCCUCUGCAGUGCUUCAACCACACCAACUCGGUCCACUACUGUACUAUUCAUUAAGCUUCAGACCGAAAGAAUAAAGAGGGAUUUGUGUUUUAAGAAUAAAUAUUUAUUGAAACAA